rnacentral:misc_RNA from 1 species
UCUUACCCUCUCAAGUUAGGAGGGUUGCUGAAGAUGUUUGCAAACCCUUAAAGGCAAGAGAGGACAUCA